rnacentral:rRNA from 1 species
AACGCGAAGAACCUUACCAAGGCUUGACAUACACCGGAAACGGCCAGAGAUGGUUGCCCCCUUGUGGUCGGUGUACAGGUGGUGCAUGGUUGUCGUCAGCUCGUGUCGUGAGAUGUUGGGUUAAGUCCCGCAACGAGCGCAACCCUCGUUCUAUGUUGCCAGCGCGUUAUGGCGGGGACUCAUAGGAGACUGCCGGGGUCAACUCGGAGGAAGGUGGGGAUGACGUCAAAUCAUCAUGCCCCUUAUGUCUUGGGCUUCACGCAUGCUACAAUGGCCGGUACAAAGGGCUGCGAUACCGUAAGGUGGAGCGAAUCCCAAAAAGCCGGUCUCAGUUCGGAUUGAGGUCUGCAACUCGACCUCAUGAAGUCGGAGUCGCUAGUAAUCGCAGAUCAGCA